GACGAACGCUGGCGGCGUGCUUAACACAUGCAAGUCGAACGGAAAGGCCCUGCUUUUGUGGGGUGCUCGAGUGGCGGACGGGUGAGUAACACGUGAGUAACCUGCCCUUGACUUUGGGAUAACUUCAGGAAACUGGGGCUAAUACCGGAUAGGAGCUCCUGCUGCAUGGUGGGGGUUGGAAAGUUUCGGCGGUUGGGGAUGGACUCGCGGCUUAUCAGCUUGUUGGUGGGGUAGUGGCUUACCAAGGCUUUGACGGGUAGCCGGCCUGAGGGUGACCGGCCACAUUGGGACUGAGAUACGGCCCAGACUCCUACGGGAGGCAGCAGUGGGGAAUAUUGCACAAUGGGCGGAAGCCUGAUGCAGCAACGCCGCGUGCGGGAUGACGGCCUUCGGGUUGUAAACCGCUUUCGCCUGUGACGAAGCGUGAGUGACGGUAAUGGGUAAAGAAGCACCGGCUAACUACGUG
rnacentral:rRNA from 1 species